UAGGGGGUUAGCUCAGUUGGUUAGAGCAGCGGACUCAUAAUCCGCUGGUCGUGGGUUCAAGUCCCUCACCCCCUAA
rnacentral:tRNA from 1 species